UGGGGAACAUUGCACAAUGGGCGCAAGCCUGAUGCAGCCAUGCCGCGUGUAUGAAGAAGGCCUUCGGGUUGUAAAGUACUUUCAGCGGGGAGGAAGGCGAUAAGGUUAAUAACCUUGUCGAUUGACGUUACCCGCAGAAGAAGCACCGGCUAACUCCGUGCCAGCAGCCGCGGUAAUACGGAGGGUGCAAGCGUUAAUCGGAAUUACUGGGCGUAAAGCGCACGCAGGCGGUCUGUCAAGUCGGAUGUGAAAUCCCCGGGCUCAACCUGGGAACUGCAUUCGAAACUGGCAGGCUAGAGUCUUGUAGAGGGGGGUAGAAUUCCAGGUGUAGCGGUGAAAUGCGUAGAGAUCUGGAGGAAUACCGGUGGCGAAGGCGGCCCCCUGGACAAAGACUGACGCUCAGGUGCGAAAGCGUGGGGAGCAAACA
rnacentral:rRNA from 1 species